ACGCAAAUCUCAUCCUCUCCCACAACCAGGAUUAUUUCCCCUUUAUCUUCUCCUCUACGGCUCCACUCAGGAAACAAAUCACCAUCUUCAUCUCCGCAUCAGCCGUUGCACAACUACGGGAAGAUCCUCACCUUCAGAAGUGCCGGGGGUGCUGAUGGCGUCGUACCGCUGCUGGACAAGCCUUCGUUGGUCGUCGCCGGCAGAGCCGCACGCUGCUGCCGAUUCAGUCCACGUAAUCACCGCCCUUAAAUUGAUUCUUGCUGCAGAUGAAUCGAGCCCCGCGCCCCGAUGUCCACCAAAGCUCCCGAUGAGUCACAUGCGCCACCAUCGGCUUCCUCCUCCAACAUCACCUGCACCAAUGGAAGCCUUUUUCAGAAGAACAUCCCUGCUCCGUCUCCAGGCACCUUCUCUAUGGCCGCAAGUUCCGCAAGUUUCUCUCACCUACGAUUCCUCUCUAACUGAAGCACGGUCCGCAAGAAUGUGUCAACAUCCGAUGGAUCAUGAUGAUCUCUCUGAUCCGGUUGGUUUUGAUCGGAAACGAUAGAUGGUUCAAAACUAAGGUUUUGUUUGUUAGCUGCUAGGAAUUUCGGAGGUUCCAUUAACAAAUCACGUGUAUUGCAUCCGAAAGGAGGCAAGGAGCUCUAUAAUUACAGUUAGUGUUUUCUUUCUCCUUUCAAAUUGAUCAUACAAGAUUACUCCUCUAGGACAUAACAAGUACAAAAUGCAUUUAGCAUUUCUCAAUGGCUACUCUUAUGGAGUAUUGACAAUUUUCUAUAGUAAUAUAAUUAUUGACCUUAUGGAGUUUAAUUAGUUCCAUGCAAGAAUUUCUAGGGUUGCUUAAUUUGUUUCACUCAAUAUAGUUGCUUGAUGAUGAACCUAUUUUGUGGAAAGAAGUUCAAUGUGCAUCAAGGUUAGCCUCGAGAUCCAGAUUUUCUCAAGAAUAAGUUUAGCAUGUAAUUCACAAUUUCUAGAACAUGAUUGUUCAUAAAAAAGCAUAAUAUAUUCCUACAUGAUUUUUUACUACAGUUCAAUGCGACAAAAUUCUAUUUUACAUAAUAUCCACUAUAUCUAGCUUGGUAUGCUUCCAUCCUCUAUCUUAUGGAAUGGUCUAUUUCCACUUUCCAGUUAUCACGAUGCUCCUACCGCCUUUGUGCUUUUGUUUAUACUACUGUGAAUAAUUCUUAUAGAAUUUGAGUUUACAUGCCAAUCAAUCAGUGUUUAAGUGUCGUGGGUUUCAAGAAAAUUCUCCAUAAACUAAACCAGAAGGAUGAAAAUAGAUAUUUGUAAUUUUAUUAAAUAAUGAUAUGCAUAUAAUAUUUGUCAUGUGGGAAAUUGAGUUUUAAAUUAACUAUUUGCAUCUAAUCAAGGUGGCACAACCACCGAAAUGUUUACUCCAGGUACAUGUCCCUAUCACUCACACUUCUGCAUAAGAAAUUGGUAUUUUUUUUCAUAAAAUUUGCUAGAGAGAUUAUUAUUGCUACUGCAUUGCUGUAUCUUUUUUUCAUUUAUGCGAUUCACCCAUGCUAAAUAAAUACGAAUUUCGAAUGUCACAUGGUUUCAUACUCCCAGGCAUGUCCUUUUUUUAGGGAAUCCCAGUCAUGUCCUUAAUGUGUCUUUUCUCUUACUAGAUAUUCACUUCAGAUAUGUAAUAGUAUAGCCCAUACUCAAAUAAUGUAUUUCCUGUUUUUUGAAGGUGUGUGUUUUGUUCUAUCAAAUUUGUGAUACAUUAUAAUUUACAGGUUUCUAAUGGUUUUGGUGUUUGUUCAACUGAAUGCUCUACCUGACUACACCUCCCUCCCAGGGACAAGAUGUACAAGUGUGAUGAUAAAUAAGCAAAUAAGGGCGUUGAGAUGUUUCUGGUUUGGAGAUAGAUGCUAGAAUAGUAACCAAUGUUCAGUUUUCAAGCACGCAUGUGUAACUACAAUCGAACAAUUUUCUCUAAGGCUAAGCACUUAGAUAUGAUCUCUUCAAACCUAUUGCUUCACUUGAAAAAUGUAAGAACAUUAGUUUUCUGAUUGUUCUGGUAUUGACAGACAUCCAAGCCUAAAAGGUCUAUCCUCACUGAGAGAAUCAAGUACGACCCCUUUUGUAUCCUUCUGUCUAAUUGUACUCUGUUGCGUGGCAUCCUAUUAAAUAAGAUGUAAAUGGAGCA